ACUCCUACGGGAGGCAGCAGUAGGGAAUCUUCCACAAUGGGCGAAAGCCUGAUGGAGCAACGCCGCGUGGGUGAAGAAGGUCUUCGGAUCGUAAAACCCUGUUGUUAGAGAAGAAAGUGCGUGAGAGUAACUGUUCACGUUUCGACGGUAUCUAACCAGAAAGCCACGGCUAACUACGUGCCAGCAGCCGCGGUAAUACGUAGGUGGCAAGCGUUAUCCGGAUUUAUUGGGCGUAAAGGGAACGCAGGCGGUCUUUUAAGUCUGAUGUGAAAGCCUUCGGCUUAACCGGAGUAGUGCAUUGGAAACUGGGAGACUUGAGUGCAGAAGAGGAGAGUGGAACUCCAUGUGUAGCGGUGAAAUGCGUAGAUAUAUGGAAGAACACCAGUGGCGAAAGCGGCUCUCUGGUCUGUAACUGACGCUGAGGUUCGAAAGCGUGGGUAGCAAACAGGAUUAGAUACCCUGGUAGGCUAGCG
rnacentral:rRNA from 1 species